GUUUGGUCUUCCCCAAACGGCAGAAUCCACACAUACUACCGUGGUACUUACCAACCUCUUAAUGUCCAUUAAUAACUAGAUGCUCACACUAAUUGAUAAUAAAACCGAAUAAUACCACUGAUAAAUCAAAGUGAAACGUACAAACCAAGGGAAACAACAUUACGCUUCAUCUUCUUGAUUCAGUCCCUCAUGAAUGCUUAAACAAAGAAAGCCAUUUUCUGAACUCUCAACGGAAUAAAGAAAAACCUCCAAAUCCAAGAUCUGUUCUAAGUCUAACCCUAAAUCGGAGCGAGCAACCAACUACUCUUACGCUACAGAUUCAAACACAAGCAAACAAGCUCUAACGAUUCAUGAUUCAAUCAAAGCAAGUAAAACGAUUCAUGAUGGUAUAGCAGACAGAAAUGUAUACAUGUCACUGGUACAAAGCAGAAUAUGCAAAUCAACGAAGAGGGAAGUAAUAUAGAGCUCACCGAGAAAUAGGUUUUCCGACGAGCGUACCGGCGAUGUAACAGACUCUUCAAGAGUAACGGAGCUGGAAAAAGUUCUCCUUUAUCCCAGUGAUGGAUGCUCUUUAUAUAGAGCUUUGGAGGUACGAGGUUUCUCACUCCUGAGCUGGCAAAGAUUCCAAAAAUCCGUUAGGAUCAAAUCCUUUCUAGAUUUUGGUGUGGUCCCAGGAAUGAAGGUGGUGAAAUCUGUUUCUGUUUUGUCCAUAGUGAAAUCUUCAGAAUCAAGUAUCCUGUGUUGAGUUUCUCAUUUACCGCUGUGAAGGAUCUAUGUGUCGUGGUUUAUUUUCAUGGAGUCUGUCUACCAUUAUUUGGUCAAGAUUAUGCGCACAAUAGCGAUGCUCCUACCUGACUUUAAUGUUCGUCCAUCAUGGUUUAUAGCACAAAACAGGACUUCAACAUACGUAUCUGUUCUUGGAGACAAUGCCCAUAUUUGCUUGACAGAGUUAUGGAAAUUGCAGAGUUAAAACCAACUUAUAGGAUGCAUAGGUUCAGGAAUAGCUUGAUGUUCAAAGUUUGAAAUCAUUUUGCCUUGCUCCUUUGGCUGCUACUUGAAUGUGGUGAGAUAUUUUGGCUUUUGAAAAACUCCAGGUUUCAUUCAUCUUCAGUCACAACUUGGUAAGGCACACCUUUCGAAUGACUUUGUGCAUUUUGGUGGACUCUUCCUUCAUAUUCGAUGUAAAAACUCCUUAUCGUGAUCCUGUAAGUCACCACCAAGCCAAUCUAAAUCCAGGUCAAGAAUAUCAUUCGGCGAUAUUUGUAGCUUACUCGACAGCUGUUUUGGAAAUGAUGAGUCUAAGCUCAAAGUGACAGACAGAUUCUUUCUGGCUGGAAAUUUGGAACUGUUGUGCAAAACUCUUGCCAUUUUUUGGGACGAUGAGUCACAUAUAUAUUUUGCCUUGUAGCCCCUGUAUUGUUUCAAAUAUGUAGAAAUGAACUGUAAUUUGGAAUGGUUAAUGCAGGUCUGGCUGUUGUAAGGAUUGAAGUCAUGAUGAUGGUGAAUUCAUGAUGCUUGGCAUGGCUUUGUUGUUGUAGUGAUUCCAGGCUGGUGUAAAGCAGCAUCAUUUUGUCUUGUUUGGCCUUAGGUUCAUGGUUAUCAAGACAAACUGACUUAUGGCGGCAUGAAUAAUUGUGGACCAAGGUCUUUUCUUUACGUAUCAUGAUGCUGCAACAUGUAUGUACCUAUUUUAAGUCUGAACUCUUUUGGCUGUGGAUCCAAACCUUGCAUAUUUAGUGUUUCUGCAGGUCUUACUUAACUGAUGUGAUGAUGACAUUUGGUUCCGCGGCCGUUUGAGCUGCUAUGAAUGAUGAGUUUGAUUCCAACUUAACGGCUUUGCUUUGUCUAAUGGAUCUUAUCAUGAUUGCUUUCCCAUGAUGUACUUGGUAAUCUUGUGACCACUUGAUAGUGAAUGCAGGUACAUGAAACAUUGAUACAUGAUUUUCAAGUCUUGGCUUCUGUUUCAAUGAAGCGGCGGUUCACAUGACGGAGACCGAGCUCCAGUCCGUGCCAGUCUGUGCCUAGAAAUGCAUCUUUUGGAAUUUCUCAAGAACGAGUGUCCUGCUAUUCUGCAUCAACUAGUACAAUCCUAUUUCGACCUUAGGUGAUUCCUUGGAAUGUCCUGAACCAAGAGAAAGCAUGAGACUCUCAUGGUUGAUCAACCAAGUUGUUUUAAUCAUGAAUUUUUGUCGGUUUGUAAUGUUUAUAUCUUAGGCCAUGGCUCUCUGUCAUUCAUGAAUCUUGUCAGUGUAACUUGUAGUUUAUGCCCCUUAACAAUGGAAUCCAAUAAUUUUCACAUGAAAGAAAAUUGUUUCGUAUUGUCGAA